GUAGUUAGCCGGGGCUUUCUUACAGGGUACCGUCACUUCUUCGUCCCCUGCGACAGAGGUUUACAAUCCGAAAACCUUCUUCCCUCACGCGGCGUUGCUGGGUCAGGCUUGCGCCCAUUGCCCAAUAUUCCCCACUGCUGCCUCCCGUAGGAGUCUGGACCGUGUCUCAGUUCCAGUGUGGCCGAUCAGCCUCUCAGCUCGGCUACCCAUCGUCGGCUUGGUGGGCUGUUACCUCACCAACUAUCUAAUCGGACGCGAACUCACCCCAAACCGGAUUCCUCCUUUGACCCCUUAACCAUGCGGUUCUGUGGUCUCAUGCGGUAUUAGCAGAUGUUUCCAUCUGGUAUCCCCCUGUUCGGGACAGAUUGUUCACGCGUUACUCACCCGUCCGCCGCUAGAACAUCUCAUAGUAAACUACUUGAUGUCCCCGCUCGACUUGCAUGUGUUAGGCACGCCGCCAGCGUUCGUCCUGAGCCAGAAUCAAACUCUGA
rnacentral:rRNA from 1 species